GUAUUUCCAUUUCAGUUUGGGGUAGUUAAGUAAUGUUAUUCUUUCAGUCAAAUUCAUGGAUACUAGGUUGCGAGGAUGUGGUAUUUUAGUUAGCUUGUUCAACGAGUCUCAUUGGGCUUUGAUUGCAUUUCUUUGGAAUGCAUUACAUUUAAGAUAGUGGUUAUUAGCUGGUUGGUAAAUUUAAAUGCAUUGGAAUGGAGCUAUGGCUGCAAUUCUCUACAAAUUCUGAAUGGAAAGAUUUGGAAGGGUGCUUUUGGUGUCUAAAAUGGUUCUGUUGUGCUGGAACUAUUCUCCACACAACCCUAGUUGGGGCUUAAGAUUGGUUUUUACUGAAGAUUUUUGGCAUUUCCUUCCAAUUGCAAUUGCUGAUAGCAUUUCCCUUGAUUUUGGUUCGUUCUCCGUUUUCCUUCUCCAUUUGGAGAGGAGAUUAGAGAGGGGCGAGGACGUGGGCAGCAGCUAAUAUCGAGCUUAUGGAAGAGCAGAAGUCACUAAAACUGGCUUCAGAUGAAAAUCUUGAGUUAAAAGCUCACAUGGAAGAUCUCUUGUUGACGAAAAAUUUCAUUGAGGAGUUGAUGGAGAAAGGUAAGCUAAUUGAAAGGGUGGAAGAAGAACUUAUUGAAAUGAGUGAUUCACUUUGGCAAAUGAAUCAUAACCUUGAAGGUUUGAAGAGUGAUUUGAAUAAGUUACUAAGGAAAGGGAUUGCCUUGAUUCUGAGGUACUUGUCUUGAAAGAGCAGCUAGAAAUGGCACAAGCUGUUGUUGAAGAAAAUGAAGCAAUUGCUACAGAAGCUAGACAGAUAGCUGAGGCAAGGAAGAACUAUGCUGAAGAGGAGGAGGAGGUGAAGCUAUUAGAGAAGUCCGUGGAAGAGCUAAAAUAUACCGUAAAUGUAUUGGAAAACGAAGUGGAGAUUGUCAAAGGAGAGGCUGAAAGGCAAUGGUUGUAGAGAGAGGAGCUAGAAGGGGACCUUACUGAAAUAGUUCAUGUACUGAUUGUUGAUAUUGUGCAAGGAUAUAAUUAGUUUUGAAAAC